rnacentral:rRNA from 1 species
GGCUCAGAACGAACGCCGGCGGCGUGCCUAACACAUGCAAGUCGAACGGAAUGAGGGGGCUUGCCCCUUCAUUUAGUGGCGCACGGGUGAGUAACGCGUAGAUAAUCUGCCUGAUGAUCUGGGAUAACAUUUCGAAAGGGGUGCUAAUACCGGAUAAGCCCACGGGGUCUUUGGACUCUGCGGGAAAAGGGGGGGACCUUCGGGCCUUCUGUCAUCAGAUGAGUCUGCGUACCAUUAGCUAGUUGGUAGGGUAAUGGCCUACCAAGGCGACGAUGGUUAGCUGGUCUGAGAGGAUGAUCAGCCACACUGGAACUGAGACACGGUCCAGACUCCUACGGGAGGCAGCAGUGGGGAAUUUUGCGCAAUGGGCGAAAGCCUGACGCAGCAACGCCGCGUGAGUGAUGAAGGCUUUCGGGUCGUAAAGCUCUGUCAAGGGGAAAGAAAUGUACGGGGGCUAAUAUCCCUUGUACUUGACGGUACCCCUAAAGGAAGCACCGGCUAACUCCGUGCCAGCAGCCGCGGUAAUACGGGGGGUGCAAGCGUUGUUCGGAAUUAUUGGGCGUAAAGCGCGUGUAGGCGGUUUGUUAAGUCUGAUGUGAAAGCCCUGGGCUCAACCCAGGAAGUGCAUUGGAUACUGACAGACUUGAAUACGGGAGAGGGUAGUGGAAUUCCUGGUGUAGGAGUGAAAUCCGUAGAUAUCAGGAGGAACACCGGUGGCGAAGGCGGCUGCCUGGACCGAUAUUGACGCUGAGACGCGAAAGCGUGGGUAGCAAACAGGAUUAGAUACCCUGGUAGUCCACGCCGUAAACGAUGAGUACUAGGUGUUGCGGGUAUUGACCCCUGCAGUGCCGCAGCUAACGCAUUAAGUACUCCGCCUGGGGAGUACG